UGCUUCAGAAUGCAUUGCAUUAUUGGUUACUAGGGGAGGCUAAGGAUAGCAAGCCGGUAAUUAGUAAUAGGCUCUUUUCACCAAGGAAUUGGGUUAAGGGUAAUUAAGAAAGUAUGCAUGGCAAUUAGAUAAACAAGUGAAUUAAAUAAGAAGAGUAGAUAUAUGAGAGUGGAUAAGAUGAAAUUGUAAACCCCAACAACACCAUUCAUCCUUGUUUUCUCAAAAC
rnacentral:lncRNA from 1 species